GAUGAACGCUGGCGGCGUGCUUAACACAUGCAAGUCGAACGGAAAGGCCCAAGCUUGCUUGGGUCCUCGAGUGGCGAACGGGUGAGUAACACGUGGGUGAUCUGCCCUGCACUUCGGGAUAAGCCUGGGAAACUGGGUCUAAUACCGGAUAGGACCACUUCUUGGAUGUUGUGGUGGAAAGUUUUUUCGGUGUGGGAUGAGCUCGCGGCCUAUCAGCUUGUUGGUGGGGUAAUGGCCUACCAAGGCGUCGACGGGUAGCCGGCCUGAGAGGGUGUACGGCCACAUUGGGACUGAGAUACGGCCCAGACUCCUACGGGAGGCAGCAGUGGGGAAUAUUGCACAAUGGGCGCAAGCCUGAUGCAGCGACGCCGCGUGGGGGAUGACGGCCUUCGGGUUGUAAACUCCUUUCGCUAGGGACGAAGCGUUUUGUGGCGGUACCUGGAGAAGAAGCACCGGCUAACUACGU
rnacentral:rRNA from 1 species